UACGGAGGAUGCAAGCGUUAUCCGGAAUGAUUGGGCGUAAAGCGUCCGCAGGUGGCAGUUCAAGUCUGCUGUCAAAGACCGGGGCUUAACUUCGGAAAGGCAGUGGAAACUGAACAGCUAGAGUAUGGUAGGGGCAGAGGGAAUUCCUGGUGUAGCGGUGAAAUGCGUAGAGAUCAGGAAGAACAUCGGUGGCGAAGGCGCUCUGCUGGACCAUAACUGACGCUCAGGGACGAAAGCUAGGGGAGCGAAUGGG
rnacentral:rRNA from 1 species